rnacentral:rRNA from 1 species
AGUGGGGAAUUUUGGACAAUGGGCGAAAGCCUGAUCCAGCAAUGCCGCGUGUGUGAAGAAGGCCUUCGGGUUGUAAAGCACUUUAAGCGAGGAGGAAGGGUAUCAACUUAAUACGUUGGUAUUUUGACGUUACUCGCAGAAUAAGCACCGGCUAACUCUGUGCCAGCAGCCGCGGUAAUACAGAGGGUGCAAGCGUUAAUCGGAAUUACUGGGCGUAAAGCGCGCGUAGGCGGUUGUGUAAGUUGGAUGUGAAAUCCCCGGGCUUAACCUGGGAAUGGCAUUCAAAACUGCACGGCUAGAGUAUGGGAGAGGAAGGUAGAAUUCCAGGUGUAGCGGUGAAAUGCGUAGAUAUCUGGAGGAAUACCGAUGGCGAAGGCAGCCUUCUGGCCUAAUACUGACGCUGAGGUGCGAAAGCAUGGGGAGCAAACAGGAUUAGAUACCCUGGUAGUCCAUGCCGUAAACGAUGUCUACUAGCCGUUGGGGGACUUGAUCCUUUAGUGGCGCAGCUAACGCAUUAAGUAGACCGCCUGGGGAGUACGGUCGCAAGACUAAAACUCAAAUGAAUUGACGGGGGCCCGCACAAGCGGUGGAGCAUGUGGUUUAAUUCGAUGCAACGCGAAGAACCUUACCUGGCCUUGACAUGUCUGGAAUCCUGUAGAGAUACGGGAGUGCCUUCGGGAAUCAGAACACAGGUGCUGCAUGGCUGUCGUCAGCUCGUGUCGUGAGAUGUUGGGCUAAGUCCCGCAACGAGCGCAACCC